rnacentral:rRNA from 1 species
UACGGGGGGAGCAAGCGUUGUUCGGAUUUACUGGGCGUAAAGGGCGGGUAGGCGGCCACCGCAAGUCAGUUGUGAAAUCUCUGGGCUUAACCCGGAAAGGUCAGCCGAUACUGCGGGGCUAGAGUGCAGAAGGGGCAACUGGAAUUCUCGGUGUAGCGGUGAAAUGCGUAGAUAUCGAGAGGAACACCUGCGGCGAAGGCGGGUUGCUGGGCUGACACUGACGCUGAGGCGCGAAAGCUAGGGGAGCGAACGGG